rnacentral:rRNA from 1 species
UGGGGAAUUUUGGACAAUGGGCGAAAGCCUGAUCCAGCAAUGCCGCGUGCAGGAUGAAGGCCUUCGGGUUGUAAACUGCUUUUGUACGGAACGAAACGGUCCUUUCUAAUACAGAGGGCUAAUGACGGUACCGUAAGAAUAAGCACCGGCUAACUACGUGCCAGCAGCCGCGGUAAUACGUAGGGUGCAAGCGUUAAUCGGAAUUACUGGGCGUAAAGCGUGCGCAGGCGGUUAUGUAAGACAGUUGUGAAAUCCCCGGGCUCAACCUGGGAAUUGCAUCUGUGACUGCAUAGCUAGAGUACGGUAGAGGGGGAUGGAAUUCCGCGUGUAGCAGUGAAAUGCGUAGAUAUGCGGAGGAACACCGAUGGCGAAGGCAAUCCCCUGGACCUGUACUGACGCUCAUGCACGAAAGCGUGGGGAGCAAACAGG